UACGGAGGGUGCAAGCGUUAUCCGGAUUUACUGGGUUUAAAGGGUGCGCAGGCGGAUAUGUAAGUCAGUGGUGAAAUCCCCGGGCUCAACCUGGGAACUGCGUUGGAAACUACGAGGCUGGAGUACGGCAGAGGGGGGUGGAAUUCCACGUGUAGCAGUGAAAUGCGUAGAUAUGUGGAGGAACACCGAUGGCGAAGGCAGCCCCCUGGGCUAGUACUGACGCUCAUGCACGAAAGCGUGGGGAGCAAACAGG
rnacentral:rRNA from 1 species